AGUUGAUGACCAGAAGCCUCUUUCCGGUUUGAAAAAUAGCGCUUUAUUAAUAAAAUAUUCCUUUUAGAUGCUACUUCCUAUAAUUUAAGUUAUAAGAGUGCUUGGAAAUUUAUUUGUACCACAUUACUCAAGAUUUAUUCGCAACGGUUGCUUUUACUUGAGAAAACCAGCAAAAAUACUAUUUAUCGCUCUCUUUCUGUGCAGAUUAUGGCUCACUUUGAUACAACUGUGACGGAUAGUGUCGUUAAAACUGUAACAAAGGAAUACAGAAGGCUGCUGAAAAGAGAUAGUUCCAACCUUAUGAAUGACCCAGCUGCUGAUAAAUCGCUUGAUUCUUCUUCUUCAAGCGUCAGACAAAGUUUAAAUUUUGAUGCUUCAAUAUUAUCACAAUCAGACUCCAGUAGUUACUUUGAAGAUUCAUUGCACAAGGAGCGAUCUGUUCGUAAAGAACUAGUUAAUGCUAAGGCUAAAAUUGCUUCGCUAGAACACACAAACAUUCAACUUGAAACUUCGAAUAAGAAAGCUCGGGUAGAGUAUGAACAACAGUCUACGGAAAAGACAUUGUUACAUGAUAGCGAUAAAGUAAAAUUGAAAGAAAUAGAGAGAAAGGUCCUUAGUCUUGAGAGGGAGCGUAACAAAUUACGAGAUAAAAUUGCUGAGACGGAGGAACAAGCGGAGUUAAAUUAUUUAAAUCUGGAGUCAAGGUUAAGAAAAAAAGAAACAAAAUGUCUGGAAUUAGAAAAAGAAAAAUCCACUUUACUAUCAAAAAUAAACAAUUUGGAAGAGAAACUAGUAGUUCUAGCAAAAGAUAAUCAGAGUCUUGAAUCGAAACUGAAUGUAUCUGAAAAUAAUAACGAUACUAAUAAGAUAUUACUUGAAGAUGCUUUGGAGUAUGAAAAGGCCAACAAAAAACUUAGAGAGCAAAUACUCGAAAUGCAAUCGAAACUAGCUGAUUCUGAAAAACGACUGUAUGAUCAACAAAAACUGAUUGUCGAUUAUGAAGAUGAUGCAGCUAUAGUUAGAAUGAACAAGAAAAAGUUGGACAGUAUUCCUCGCCUUGAAAGAGAAGCUCGGAAAUAUAAAGAAGAACUGGAAAAGGCCACUUCUUUUUCGGAGAAUAUUAACCUAUUAAGAGAACAACUAAACUCUGAACAGAUUAAAUCAAAGCGACUGGAAGAACGUUGUAAACAACUUGGAGUUAUCGAAGUUGAGUUUGAAAACUUGAAGAAACAAAUGCAUUAUGGCGGUAGCCAUAAGGUGAUGGAACUUGAAAGACAGUUGCAGGCUGAGCGAACUGCUCACCAAUUACUUUUAGCACAGAAAGGUGAACUAUCUUCUAGCCUCUCUUCUCUCGAGGGAAAACUAGAACACGAGCGUAAAGAGUAUUCCGAGAUAAAAGACACCGUGAUUAGGCAAGAUAAUGUAAAUAAAGAAUUAAACGAUCGCUUGAAAAGGUUAAAAAUCCGUUUGGAGAUGGCUAUUAAGGAGAGAGAUGCUCAAGUUGCUUUGGUUGACUCUUUCAAAGCUCAAUUAGACAUAACAGUUUGUGAUGGAGCAGAAGAGCUACCAGUUGAACGGCGAUUGAAAGAAAUGGAAAAAUUAUCAGCGGAAUACAAAACUGCCCUAGAAAAUAUUCAAAGGCAAUUAGAUGAAAAAUGUACCGAACUCUCAGAGCAAAAAACUGUUAGCCAUAGAUUAAACGCCAAGUUGAAAAGACUUAAUAAGCAAAUGAAUAACACUUUAUCAUCUCCUGUUACUCCAUCAGGCGAUCGCCAAAUGCUUGACCAUCUAAGGAAUCAACUACAAACUGUUCAAGGUGAGUUAGACAAAUGUAAACGAGAAAAGCAGGCAGCCGCCAAAGAGCUAGGUCUACAAGCUGAAGGACUGGAUUUAAGUGAAAGCAAAGUUAUUCACUUAAAGGAUAAUCCUUUGUCGAAAAAGUGGGAAAAUAUUAAUGCUGAAUUGGCUCGUCUACAUACAGAAAACCAGCGACUGUUUGAAAGGGUUCAAUUACUAGAAGAAGGACACAGUUUCGCUGAUAUUACAGCUCGUGCUGAAGAAAAUGCUAGUAGCGUAAAGGAGUUAACUGAGCAAAUUAUAGGAAUGAAAUCGACAUUAAAAUGCGAACAUAUCAAAUAUAAGCGUUUAGAAGAGCAGGCACAAAAGACAAUAAAAGAGUUAAAAAUGAUUUAUUUUGAGUUAACGGGAUGGAAACUAUAUGAACCCGAGCGAAAGGUUUAUAAGGUUGUAAAUGACCUAGCUGUGUGCUCUGAACAUUUCUUAUAUUUUAAGCGAACUGAAAAGGAAGAAGGGGGACAUCUAAUUCUCUUAAAGAAUAGCUAUAGCGAGAUGGAAUCUCUAAAGCAACAUCGCCAAAAAUAUCUUGAAAAUUAUGGCAGUAUUUCUGCCUUUCUCGCAGCAAUAACACUAGAUCUAAAUACUAUUCAACAUAACGACAGUACUCUGAUGACGAACGACUAGGGAAAUCUAACGUGAAAUUAAAUAUAACCUCAGAAAUUAUCUGAAGUUUUACUCUACCUUUUAUAUUGUUUACCCAACGCUAAAAACAAAAUUAGUAAUUAUUUUUUGACUUUGGACACGUUAAUCUUCAUGAAAAUGAUUUUGUCGUUCUUAAAAUGCACCAUGUACCCGAGCGUUUUAAUGAAUAAGGGAUAUACAAUGGUCAUCGUAAAUGAAUAAAUACUUCCCAGAGCAUAUUUUAUUUUUGUGUGAAAGAUCAUUUUUUAAAACUAUCAUUUUUGUAAUUAAUAUUAUUGUCUAACUUUAUAAAGCAGAAAUAUAUGUCUCAGGAAUCAGGAAUUUUUUUGAAAACUUGCAUUAUUAGCUUAUAAUCGGACAGUUAAUAAGGUCAUGGAAAUUUAAGUUUCUGGUGAUGAAAACUUUCACUAUGCAAUUUCAUAAGGAUAAAUAUCAUUAGGUUAUUCUAAAAAAGGUAAAAUAAAUGUGUUGGAACGGGUUUCAAGUGUUGUUUCUUAAUGUACUUGCUAUUUUUUUUUAGAUAAUUAUCUAAUAAUGAUGGUUUAAUAAUUUUGUAACGUUCCAAACUCAAUUGAGGAAAAGAGUUUACAU
rnacentral:misc_RNA from 1 species